rnacentral:rRNA from 1 species
CAGUCGCCGCGGUAAUACGGAGGGUGCAAGCGUUAAUCGGAAUUACUGGGCGUAAAGCGCACGCAGGCGGUCUGACAAGUCAGAUGUGAAAUCCCCGGGCUUAACCUGGGAACUGCAUUUGAAACUGUCAGGCUGGAGUCUUGUAGAGGGGGGUAGAAUUCCGCGUGUAGCAGUGAAAUGCGUAGAUAUGCGGAGGAACACCGAUGGCGAAGGCAGCCCCCUGGGCCAACACUGACGCUCAUGCACGAAAGCGUGGGGAGCAAACAGGAUUAGAUACCCGCGUAGUCCCUGUCUCUUAUAC